UGCUCUACCCGCCCGUUUCUGCUGGGGCUCCAGGCAGGGGCAGGUGGCACACGAUUCCGGUUCGAAUCCCGCCGCCACGCGUAGUUUGCUCUACGUCCGGGUCCUGCCAGAAUCUGACUCUGCGGGCUCCCUAAGGUCAGUAAUGAAAGAACAAAUGAAGAGGGAGAAGGAGAAGAGAAGAGAGGAGAAGAGAAGAGAAAAGAGGU